GACGUAGGGGACGAGCGUUGUUCGGAAUCACUGGGCGUAAAGCGCGUGUAGGCGGCCCACUAAGUCUGAUGUGAAAGCCCGGGGCUCACCCCCGGAAGUGCAUUGGAAACUGGUGGACUCGAGUCCCGGAGAGGAGAGUGGAAUUCCUGGUGUAGCGGUGAAAUGCGUAGAUAUCGGGAGGAACACCGGUGGCGAAGGCGGUUCUCUGGGCCUUACCUGACGCUGAGGAGCGAAAGCGUGGGGAGCGAACAGG
rnacentral:rRNA from 1 species